UACGUAGGGUGCGAGCGUUAAUCGGAAUUACUGGGCGUAAAGCGUGCGCAGGCGGUUCGUCGUGUCUGAUGUGAAAGCCCCGGGCUCAACCUGGGAAUGGCAUUGGAAACUGGCGGACUAGAGUGUGGCAGAGGGGGGUGGAAUUCCGCGUGUAGCAGUGAAAUGCGUAGAGAUGCGGAGGAACACCGAUGGCGAAGGCAGCCCCCUGGGUUAACACUGACGCUCAGGCACGAAAGCGUGGGGAGCAAACAGG
rnacentral:rRNA from 1 species